rnacentral:lncRNA from 1 species
CUUGCUUCCAGGAUAUUUUUAGAGAGAGAGCGCAGGUCUCUCUCUGGGCACGAUCUGCCUUACUGACAAGCUGAGGUUUCAUAGCAGCUCAUCCAAGUGUGCAGAUCACCUGCAAGCCCAGGGAGAGAUGCAGACUGUCUUCGAGCACUUUUCAAGCACUCCUGGAGCCACAGCUGAUUAGUUUCAGUGAGGGUGGUACCCUGAAUCUAAAGAGGCUGUUGAAAUACUUCCUUGUGAAGUCUCAAGAUCUCCAACGCUCUCCAACUUGAGCCAAGGCAUUUGGCCACCCGUACCGUGAGUGUAAUUCUCUGCACCUCUAUCCUA